rnacentral:rRNA from 1 species
AGGAAUACAUCGGAAUCUGCCUUGUUGUGGGGGAUAACGUAGGGAAACUUACGCUAAUACCGCAUAAGACCGUAAGGUGAAAGCGGGGAUCGAAAGACCUCGCGCGACAAGAUGAGCCGAUGUCGGAUUAGCUAGUUGGCGGGGUAAUGGCCCACCAAGGCGACGAUCCGUAGCUGGUCUGAGAGGAUGAUCAGCCACACUGGAACUGAGACACGGUCCAG